rnacentral:ncRNA from 1 species
AAAAAAGCGUUGAUAAGGAGAAGUACAUAAAACAUGCUUCAAAAGAGAGGGUCAUCACCGGCUGAAAGUGACCUAGGCCGCUGUUUUAUGGAAAUGCACCUUAGAGCACUUAGCUGAAAAUUUAGUAGGCGAGUCGAUUCGUCCCCGUUAUCGGACUUUCGAGUGGAAAGCAUUUAGGUAAGGUUGCUAAUGCUUUCAAUCAGAGUGGAACCACGAUCAAGAUCGUCUCUGUC